rnacentral:rRNA from 1 species
GGAGGCAGCAGUGGGGAAUUUUGGACAAUGGGCGCAAGCCUGAUCCAGCAAUGCCGCGUGCAGGAUGAAGGCUUCGGGUUGUAAACUGCUUUUGUACGGAACGAAAAGGCUCUCUCUAAUACAGAGAGCCGAUGACGGUACCGUAAGAAUAAGCACCGGCUAACUACGUGCCAGCAGCCGCGGU